GCCGCCCCCCGGGCCCGCCCCGCCGCCGCCGCCGCGAUGGCUCUGACCUUGUUCGAUACUGAUGAAUACAGACCACCUGUUUGGAAAUCUUACUGUUGACACAUAAAUACAGCAUUUGCCAGUGGAAAAGACGUGGGAUCAAAUGAGAAUCGUAAUGAAGCCAAAUUGUAUUGGUUAAAUUAAUUGUAUCAGUUGCAACAGGAAGCUCCCCAUCCUAGAAGAAUAACCUGCACUUGUGAGAAAUUCACAGGAGCAAGAGCAGAGCUGUACAGAAAUAUGCACCUGUUCGUACAGACAUCACUGCUAGAUGUGUGAAAUAAAGCAGUAGAGGGAAGACUAAAGCCUCCCCUGGUGCUGUUGUUUGAGUAAUAGUACUGAAGACUCGUUAAUAGCAGGAACUGAGCUGUGCAGAGCCAUAGAUUUUAUG